rnacentral:rRNA from 1 species
AAACCAGCACCUCAAGUGGUCAGGAGGAUUAUUGGGCCUAAAGCAUCCGUAGCCUGUUCUACAAGUUUCCGGUUAAAUCCAUUAGCUCAACUAAUGGGCCGCCGAAAAUACUGUAGAACUAGGGAGUGGGAGAGGUAGACGGUAUUCGGUAGGAAGGGGUAAAAUCCUUUGAUCUAUUGAGGACCACCUGUGGCGAAGGCGGUCUACCAGAACACGUUCGACGGUGAGGGAUGAAAGCUGGGGGAGCAAACCGGAUUAGAAACCCGGGUAGUCC